UCUCCUCGCUGGAGGUCGGGAGCGCUGCCCCGGCAGCGGCGCCCAGUCCAGCGAAUAACCUCUGGUGAAGGGGGGAGAAACGGGAGGCAAUAACAGGUCUGUGAUGCCCUUAGAUGUUCUGGGCCGCACGCGCGCUACAUUGGCAGAGACAGCGAGCAACGCCUUGGCCGAGAGGCCCGGGGAAUCUUGUGCAACUCUGCCGUAAUGGGGAUAGACCAUUGGAACUGUUGGUCUUGAACGAGGAAUUCCUAGUAAGUGCCGGUCAUCAGCCGGUGCUGAUUAAGUCCCUGCCCUUUGUACACACCGCCCGUCGCUACUACCGAUUGAACGAGCGGAUGAAGGCGGGGGAGUGCCCCGGCGGGAACCCGCCUGAAUUUGUUUGUUUAGAGGAAGUAAAAGUCG
rnacentral:rRNA from 1 species